CGGGCUGGCCGGGCGACCGCGUCCCGCUGCGGCGGGCCGAGGAAGGUCCGGGCUCCACAGGGCAGGGUGGUGGGCAACGCCCACCCGGGGUGACCCGCGGGACAGUGCCACAGAGAACAGACCGCCUCCCGACCCUCCGGGGCCGGGCGGCAAGGGUGAAACGGUGGUGCAAGAGACCACCAGCGCUCCGGGUGACCGGAGCGGCUCGGCAAACCCCACCUGGAGCAAGGUCAAGAAGCCGCGACCCCGGUCGCGGUGCGCGAGCGUUCGAGGGCGGCCCGCCCGAGCUCGCGGGUGGACCGCACGAGGCUGUCGGCGACGGCAGCCCUAGAUGGAUGGUCGCCAGCCGACCGGUCGUGAGGCCGGUCGGGGAACAGAACCCGGCCUACGAGCCAGCCCGUCCG
rnacentral:RNase_P_RNA from 1 species